rnacentral:rRNA from 1 species
UACGAAGGGGGCGAGCGUUGUUCGGAAUUACUGGGCGUAAAGGGCGCGUAGGCGGCCCCCUUUUGUCGCGUGUGAAAGCCCCGGGCUCAACCUGGGAACGGCGCGCGAAACGGGGGGGGCUUGAGUUGGGAGAGGAGAGUGGAAUUCCCAGUGUAGAGGUGAAAAUUCGUAGAUAUUGGGAAGAACACCGGUGGCGAAGGCGGCUCUC